GGGGGGAUAAUCAAGUGGUCAACGAUGACAGACUCAAGAUCUAUCAAGAGUCAUUGGCUAGAUGGGACAUCUGUUCCUUAGUGGUUCGGGAGUUCGAAUCUCCCUCCCCUCA
rnacentral:tRNA from 1 species